UUUCCCAAAAAUUAAAAAUAGAGCUAGCAUAUGAUCCAGCGAGGCAGCUUCUGAGUGGUAUUUCAAGGGAAGGAAACGGCACGAGGAAGACACAUCUGCAGCUCUGUUUACAGCGGGACUGUUCUCCACAGCCGAGGAAUGGAGACCACCAACAGAAGACUACAGACAAUACAGAUGGAUAAUCAGUGGGCCCCUAUUGACUGUGAAAGAGGAAGCUCUGGCUUUGACCACAAUACGGAUGGAACUGGAAAUCACUAUGGUCAUCCCUUCCUUGGUGAUGCAGAUACCGCUAAGAAUGGGCCACUCUGCAAGAGAGAGGGAGCUGCCGCACAACCGUGAUGGCCUGAGUUUGGAUCCCUGGCCACCACAUAAAAGCUGAGUGCCGCGGUGGGCUGGAGCCCAGGCAGAGACGAGCAGCUCCCUGAAGCCAUGGGCCACAAAGCUGGGCUGAAAUGAUAAGAUCCAGAUUCAGUGAGAGAUCCUCCAAACAUGAGGUAGAGAGGGGUGGAGGAAGACACCCUGCAUCAACCUCUGACCGCCGUGUGCCUUUACACCCACAGGUACACCAAUACACAUGACUAUGUACAUGCAUCCUAUGCACACACAAAAAUAAGACGGAGAGGGACGAAGGAAGACUCCCAGCAACAACCUCUGCCUUCCACAUACCUGCACGCACGCACAUGUACUCACAACCACACACCCACAUAAAGACAUACGCUACACACAACCAACCAACAGACACCCAUAGACGUACAGGUCCUAACUGCAGCACAGCCUACCAUGGGAAAUACCCGGGAGUGAUACAAUUCCAUCAACAGAAGAAUAAUUAGAACCUCGCUCUAUCCUGGUACUGGAAUUCCAUUUGUCUAACAGGAAGAACAUGGCGGGUCUACAGGUGCUGGCAAUGAAAGACAACAGUCCUGCAGUUUAGAGCAAAAACAUGGGAUCCAUGCUUCCUGGGAGCAGCAAUCUGAAAAAGCUCGUGCUGGACUGCAUACCGAUCUGCAAUGAGCUUUCCUUCUUCGGGGA